rnacentral:lncRNA from 1 species
ACCAUUUGGAAGAAACCUGAUCUCUUCAUUAGUCCGUCAGAAAUCUGGACUGGAAUUUCAAAUAAUUUGGAAAACAAGCAUGCUGAAGAACUUAAGGGACCAUCACCCUCACAAGGAGUUUGGCUUCAUAACUCAUCCAAAGUGUAAACACUCUAAUAUCUAUAUUGCUGCACAAGGACUCUAUUGCUGUAACUCCAAGUGGACCAUUUCACAACCGAACUUUCAAGAACAGCCUUCUGCAAAGCGUUCAUGUGACACUGGAAGAGUGGACAUGGAAUAAGGAAGAUAGCACACCAAGCAGGCUGACACCCGAGCCAAUCUUCAGUCGUUCCUCUAUUCUUCAGUAUGUUCAACAAGCAAAACAAAAACUCAUUUCCAGCUACAGGAGAGGAUUCAGAGUAGCUGAACAGCACAGGAUUUUGGCUGCAAUUUUUUCAACAUCUUUUGGGUGAAAUGGUCCAAUAUACAGUAUUUCUAGAACCAAGACAACUAAGACAACUAGCUUUGGCUAGAAUAAAGAUGAUCUUCAGGAAUUUUUUUCAGGACCAAUGCCAUGAAGGAUGAACUGACAUAACGUCAAAGAGUUCAUUUGUGUUCUGCCAACAAUGUUAGCUAAGAAAAUAACCCCUAGUAUAGAAGUUUGUGUUCAAACCAGGUAAAACUACAAUGUUUCUUGUACAUCCUAAGCAGUCUUGAUUGUUUAUUUGCACAGUUUUGUUUUAACUUACAGCUGUCGGCAGGCUAUGAAGAACUGCACAAAGGACUUGAAGAAAAAAAUGGAACAUAAAAUGAUAUUUGAAAGGAACUGAAAUAAUCUGUCUCACAUAGCGGACAAAUAUAAAAUCUCAUUUCCAUUUUGCCAGAAUUGUGUGUCAUGCCCUUAAUUUGGU